rnacentral:rRNA from 1 species
GGACGAACCUCUGGUGUUCGGGUUGUCACGCCAGUGGCAUUGCCCGGUAGCUACGUUCGGACAGGAUAACCGCUGAAAGCAUCUAAGCGGGAAGCCCCUCCCAAGAUAAGUUCUCCCUGGGGACUUGAUCCCCCUGAAGGGCCGUUGAAGACUACAACGUUGAUAGGCUGGGUGUGGAAGCGCGGUAACGCGUUGAGCUAACCAGUACUAAUUGCCCGUGAGGCUUGACCAUAUAAUCCA